AGAGUUUGAUCCUGGCUCAGGACGAACGCUGGCGGCGUGCCUAAUACAUGCAAGUCGAGCGGACGAAUCGAAAGCUUGCUUUUGAUUCGUUAGCGGCGGACGGGUGAGUAACACGUGGGCAACCUGCCCUGUAGACGGGGAUAACACCGAGAAAUCGGUGCUAAUACCGGAUAACACGAAAUGUCGCAUGACGUUUCGUUGAAAGACGGCGCAAGCUGUCGCUACAGGAUGGGCCCGCGGCGCAUUAGCUAGUUGGUGAGGUAACGGCUCACCAAGGCGACGAUGCGUAGCCGACCUGAGAGGGUGAUCGGCCACACUGGGACUGAGACACGGCCCAGACUCCUACGGGAGGCAGCAGUAAGGAAUAUUGGACAAUGGUCGCAAGACUGAUCCAGCCAUGCCGCGUGAAGGACCGAAGGUUCUAUGAAUUGUAAACUUCUUUUGUAUGGGAAAAAACCCCUGGACGUGUCCGGGGCUGAUUGUACCAUAAGAAUAAGGGUCGGCUAACUUCGUGCCAGCAGCCGCGGUA
rnacentral:rRNA from 1 species